rnacentral:rRNA from 1 species
UACGGAGGGGGCUAGCGUUGUUCGGAAUUACUGGGCGUAAAGCGCACGUAGGCGGUUAUUCAAGUCAGAGGUGAAAGCCCGGGGCUCAACCCCGGAACGGCCUUUGAAACUAGAUAGCUAGAAUCUUGGAGAGGUCAGUGGAAUUCCGAGUGUAGAGGUGAAAUUCGUAGAUAUUCGGAAGAACACCAGUGGCGAAGGCGACUGACUGGACAAGUAUUGACGCUGAGGUGCGAAAGCGUGGGGAGCAAACAGG